rnacentral:rRNA from 1 species
GUAGGGGGCAAGCGUUGUCCGGAAUUAUUGGGCGUAAAGGGCGCGUAGGCGGGUAUUUAAGUCCGGUGUGAAAGAUCAGGGCUCAACCCUGAGAGUGCAUCGGAAACUGGGUAUCUUGAGGACAGGAGAGGAAAGUGGAAUUCCACGUGUAGCGGUGAAAUGCGUAGAUAUGUGGAGGAACACCAGUGGCGAAGGCGACUUUCUGGACUGUAACUGACGCUGAGGCGCGAAAGCGUGGGGAGCAAACAGGAUUAGAUACCCUGGUAGUCCACGCCGUAAACGAUGAGUGCUAGGUGUAGAGGGUAUCGACCCCUUCUGUGNNNNNNNAACACAAUAAGCACUCCGCCUGGGGAGUACGGCCGCAA